UAUAUAUAUAUAUAUAUAUAUAUAUAUAUAUAUAUAUAUAUAUAUAUAUAUAUAUAUAUAUAUAAAGGCCGCUGGUCUGUGGAAAGACUUCUUGGAUUAUCCGGACGGCUCUGAUUAAUGUACCAGUAACAGGGAUCUUGCUGACAUACAUCUUGCAACUCAGCAGGACUGCAACAGAUAUUAAAAACAGCUGUUCUGAAUGUGAUGGGUCUGCCUCUCCAUUCCUGGUUUCAGAGUCACGUGAUGUCUCCAUGCCUCCCCACUUCACUGAAGCCCUCUGUCCGGGAACACAGUAACUCAACAGAAACGUAGACAGGAAACUCCCCAAACCACUUGAGCUGGAUGUUUUAAUGAUUGAAAGGCAGGACUUAAUGAAUUUGAUAAUUGUUGUUAUCUCUAUAUGUGUCUAUUUUUACUUGAAAGACCUGUUCAGUAUUGUUUAGAUGGUAGUGAUUGUUUGUGCAUAUGGAAAGAGGCAAAGCGGACAUAAGUUGGAUUUCAUUACACCUUGAAGUUGGACCUACUUCUGAUGUCUAACAUUUCUCACAACUUGGAUGCCCUCCCAUCUUUAUAUUAUAAUUGGAAGCCCUGUGUUCUGUAUUUGAGUUUAUGCCUUGCCAGACCUAAUUGAUCUGCUUGUUUUGAGAAGUAGCUCCACAGUUGUAUUUUUUUGGGUUUCUGCGGACCUUGGGUUAUUAAAACUCAACGUCCACAUCUGUCUCUCUGCUUUCCGUCAAACAGGAAAGGUCAAAGGUAAGCCACAGGGUACUACAGACCAUAGACUGUAUUAACGAAGUGGAUAUAGCUUCCAGGUCUGAAAAGUAAAGCCAAUGAGGAAGUACCUUAAACCUGCAUUCUAUCUCAUUUCCAGCAGGAGGGGACGGGUUGCAAAAAGAAGUAAGUCCAAUUGAGUAAGUCUGGUUGUAUAGACAUCUAUGAGAAAAUAGCCCAUGCCUUAGGGCGGGGCUGCCUUGUGAUUGAAUGCGUUCGCUACCACUGCAACCUGUCAAUUCGGAUAGAGGCUAGGAAUGCAUAACCAUGGCAAUGGUUAUUAUGUUUAUUAAUUUAAAUAGCUGUGGACUUGUUUUUGGGUGCUGUCCGAGUUUUCGUCUUAGAACUUUGACCCUCUCACAGUGUGUUUCAGUUCAUCACAGUAAAACAUUUUGUUUGCCAAAAAAUACCAUGUUCAGUUGCACCUUGCUAACCAAGCUAGCUAGUGCUAGCGUUAGCUGUUAACUUGAGGGAAACAUUGCUGAUUUUCAGGCAGCUCUGUAUCAUUGCAGUACAUGCAGAUGAACCAGAUGACGUACUGUAUGUCAGCCGGUUAAAAAUCAGCAAAUGUUCCACCUUACGCGUUUAGCUUAGUACAGCGCCUUUGAAACAACGCUGGCAUAAUGCUCCUCCCCCAAGCUCCACCCUCCUGCCAAAUAUGGUCAUUUCUGGUUCCAAAAACCAAGAUGGCGAUGGCAAAUGUUACUCGAGGCUUCAAAACAGUAGUCCACAAGCUAAUGGGUGACAUCGCAGUAGCUACGUGCACAUCAUUUUUACAGUCUAUGGUACAGACACUUUAACACGAUGGAUGCUUGAAGCUUUGAAUCCAGAUCUUCCAGCUUAAAACCACAGUGUGUUUGCUUUUUCAGUGAUUCAUACAAAAUUAUUAUGAGGGCAUAGUUUUGUUUUAUUGUAAAAAGACAAUCUUCGCGAAGAUCUUUGUAUUUAGUUCAGCCAAUUCUGUCUUGAUGUUUUUUUGACUGCCACCUGAAGGCACCAAAGUUGGACAUUUCCCAAUUCUACAUAGUGGCUUUAAUGACGGUUGCUCUUCUCAGUGGCCAAUGCUAAUCUGCUACUCUAAAGCAUUUUUGCUAAACUAAUAAGUAACCCAAAUAAACUCAUAGAACUGUUUGUUGUAUGUCCCCAAAACAUCACAAGUAUUUUGACACCGAGAGGAAAGUUUGGGAUCUGGUGAAUAUAACCAAUCAAAAUUGACCAUAAAGUAGAUCACUGAGAUAAUUAAUUGAAUGCAUUACAAUGAUUUACACCAGGGGUCUUCAACGUUUUUUUAAGCCAAGGACCCCUUAACUAAAAGAGAGAUGGAGCAGGGACGCCCCAUUACUUAGAUUUUAUAAAAUAAAAGUAAGAUAAUAAACUGUGCCUACAAUAAUGUGUAGGGCCGCCUAAAGCCUUUAUACCUUUUUGCACAGAAUACUAAGCUAUUAAAAUAGCCUACUAAUUGUGGCAUUAUUUUAUAAAUCAUGUUUAAAUGUUAAACAUACAUGUAGCAUAGUGAAUCCUUAGGAUAAUCUGUGUAUGAUGACAUUAGUGACUACGUUACCUAUGGGCCAGUUAGCAGUGAGGAUUUAUGUUCGCUAAUUGGUUGGAUUCAUGUUAAGACUUUUCUUUUUCUUUUUUUUAACUUUCAAAAAUUAACAAUAAUUUGGAGGCUCCCCUGCGCUGACUCUAAGGACCCCCUAAGGGGGCCCCGGACCCCUCGUUGAAGAUCUCUGGCUUACACUAUUUAGUGCUGUAAAUGUUACACUCGUAUAGAGUUUUCUGGUAAAUGUGACGUCAGGUGUGACUUAUUCCUCUCCUGGGAUUUUACUCCACACAGUUUAUGAUAGGAUACACCACCAGCCCGAUUGCUAACAGUGUUCUUCACAAACAUGUAAUCCACUACGAUGAAACUGUUUCUUAACACUUGUAAUGUAACACAUCCGAACAGCAUUUCAGUAGAUAAAUAAAAGUAGAAUUUAUUUCAAUCAUUUAUCUGUAUUGUUGACUGUUGUCCUCCAAUAUAACUUAUAGUUCCACUUGA